rnacentral:lncRNA from 1 species
GGGGGGGGGAUGAAAAAUUGCCUCGUUUAUAUAUAAUAAAAUCUCAUAUGGUAUAACACAUGAAACUACAUUUAUAUUUAACUUUAUCGUCUCAUAUGAGUAUGACAUUGAUGUGAUAUAUAUUUGGAUAAUCGAGCAUAUUCAAUUUAUUUUUGAAAUUUAUGUGUGACAAGUAAAACGUAGUUUUUAGCAGUAUUUUUACCUACCAUAGUCCAUAGAAUCCCUAUAUGAUUGUUAUAUAUUUAUAUAUAUGUUUUCGGUUUUUAGGUUGAUUGUUCUCAAUUUGGAUAAGGUAAGACGAGUAGAAAACCAUCAUAUUAUGGGAUACUUUAUUCUCUUUAUCGGGAAAUAAAGCGACAAAAAUUAGGGCUGGAUAUUAAAGAGAAUUGAAUCGAACCUCGAAAUUUUCGAGUAUUUAGUAAGUGUAUCCGUUUGUUUUAAAUUUAAUUAUGGAACCGUUUGAGUUGAGUUGUACUAUAAUUAAAAUUUUUAAUAUUUACAAAGUUACAUUAAUUAAACUAAUAAAAUGUUCAAUUUUAGUUCUUACAAAAUAAUAUAGUUCAAUCUUAUGUAUCUUUUACGUCUUUAUUUAUUGAGUUUUUCAGAUAUUUGAUUAUUAAAAUCACAUGAAGGGAAAGAUAUCGAGCUUACAAUAAUUAAGAGAGGUGUGGUUGAACUUCAAUUCGAUUACUCCAUGUUAAGGAAGUAAAUAAUGUAAAUUAGGCAGGGGUGUAACUAGAGUUUAUUGUAUUUUCAUAAUUACUGAGUUUCUAUAUGUUUGUGUACUCUCGAUUUUACCAUAUAAUGAAAGAAGAGGAGGGAAAGUAAAAAGAACCUUAUUCUCUAAAAGUUAUAUCAAACCUAUUUCACAAUGGUAUCAAAGCAUUGAUUCUGGGCUUUGGUAUUAUCUCCUUCCCCCUGACUUUCUCUUUUUUACCAUAAACUUAAAUCUUCAUUGGAGUAUAGUUGCUGUCAGUCGAGGUGGUCUCGGACGUCAGAAGAAGCUUGCGCUGCGAUUGAUUGUAACAGUCGAGUGGUUGUGCAGCGUUUGUUGGAAUUCCUUCGAUGGUUCGAUGAUGGUUUUGUGGUGAUUCGAUGGGUAUAGAAAGUGGGUUUUCCUGUGGUGGUGUCGUUUCUGUUGAAGGUAGUGAUCAGAGCCCUCAAGUUUGGUAGGCAAAGCCUAGGUGUGUCGAUUGUAGCCGACGACAUCGACGAAGGUUCUCAGUGGACUUCGGUUGGUUUGUGACUGUGGGAUGUGUUUUGUUUAUUUGACUUGGACCUUCUCAAUUGAUCUCAGUUUGCUAUUUAGGCUAAUUAAAUUGGGCUACUAUUGUUGGACUCUAAUAAUUAUGUUGGGCUCAUUUUGUUAUUUGAUUUCUUUGGGCUCUAAUUAUUGGUUUGUGGUUGCCUG